CGGCUAUGAUGAUCUCCCACUUCUGGUCCGUGUUUCUGACCCCUGAUUAUGUUGGAAGUCCUGAGCAC